ensembl:lncRNA
UCUCUCUCUUUCUCUCUCUCUAUAUAUCUAUAUAAAUAGAGGUAUCAUUCCUUUCAAAGUCGGGAUUCAGCAUCCUGUUCGCUAUUCAGUCAAUGAAUUGGAGCUCUGAAAAUAAAUUGAAUUGAAUUCAGUUCUAAAUGCAGUACAAUCCUAGUUUUAAAACCCAUCUGUCACGCUGCUAUAGGAUCCGCUCUUCAGCAUCUCAAGCGAUGCUCAUCUCCACACUCUCAUCUGGAGUGAUGUGAAGCUAAAUCAAACAGUGAUUCUAGAGGAAGUACACACAGCCAGCAGCGUUUUGAUACGUGUCAGCGUGUCGACCUGAAGCACAGCUGGUGGUGAAGCACACGGCGAGAAUGCGGCUCUGGGCUAAAAAUAGGAGUGUUUCAUUUCUACAUGCUCUACAUGUGUAAGGUUUCCCAUGGUGAGAUGGAGAAUGAGGUCAGCAGUGAAAUAAUACAGACACCAACUUUAAAAGGAAUCAAGACUUAACAUCUCAAACACACCGACAAUCAAGUCCCAGUAGAGACUGACACAGUAUUCACAUGCAACCGACAACGUUUGGAGUUUGAUAUGAAUUCUGUAGCUUAAACACUGCUUUAAAGGUACAGUUAUAAAUGAAAAAUUUGCUUAAUUUACUCAGGCCAUCCAAGAUGACUUUUCAAUAUAUCAUCAGAAGCCGCCUGUAUGUGCUUUUUUGACUCUCAGUGACAGCAGAUGCUUAUUUACAUUUUAUGAAUCACCAAGGACCACAAUUUCAGCAAAAAAAAAAUCUUCUUUACUCUUCUACUAAAGAAAAAAAGUUAUCUAUAUCUUGGAUGACCUUACGGUGAGUAAAUUAACAGCAAAAUUUCAUUUCUGGGUGAACUAUCACUCUAAGAUUCUGAGCACUUCAGCCAAUUCAGAACUUUAGAUGUCAGUAUUUUCUCCUCAUCAGGCAUCCUGAUCCUGGAUUGCCAAAGCUCAGAUGGCCAAUAUAAGCAGCUUAAAUGGCUUUCACACUUGAUCUCCACAAACAAAAUGCUAGAUGCUGAUUGGUUCUUCUCUGUUUCAGUGGGCGGGGUAUGUAUCUAUCAGAGAGACGAGUGUCAGGGGAAAUUCUUCUUAUGCUCAUCACCUUAAACACAAGCAAUAUACUCAUAUUUAGGGAAUAAAAUGAAGUCAUCACUGUGUCCCUCCUUGACUUUGUGUGUGUGUGUGUGUGCGUGUGUUUUCUCAUAGGCAGGAUUGCACUUCCACAGACUUCACAGAUGCAAUGCAGUUGCCAAGGCAACAUCGCCAGGCAGCUGAGUGUGAGAGAAAGUGAAGGAGACUGACUUUACUCUCACGCAGAAACACAGAUACUCUUACGAGGGUUAUUUGAAGACAUCGCUUCGCUUCAUCUACUCAACAUAUUCAAUUAACCCUCUGUGUGGAGAGACUAGAUUUCACUUUUUUUCUGUUGGUGGUUGCUAAGGUGUUCAGAGUGGUUGUUAACUUUUAACACAUUUCUGUGGAGUUGCUAAACUGUUCUUUUUUUAGUGGGUUGCUAUGUAGUUGCUAGGGUGUUCUGGAUGGUUAUGGGUUUUAGUGUGUUGCUAUGUGGUUGCUAGGGUGUUCUGGGUGGUUUUGGUUUUACUGUGUUGCUAUGUUUUUCCUAAGCUGUUCUUGGUUUUUAGUACGUUGCUAUGUGGUUGCUAGGGUGUUCUGGGUGGUUUUGGUUUUAGUGUGUUGCUAUGUGGUUGCUAGGGUGUUCUUUGUUUUUAGUACGUUGCUAUGUGGUUGCUAGGGUGUUCUGGGUGGUUUUGGUUUUAGUGUGUUGGUAUGUUGUUCCUAAGCUGUUCUUUGUUUUUAGUACGUUGCUAUGUGGUUGCUAGGGUGUUCUGGGUGGUUUUGGUUUUAGUGUGUUGCUAUGUGGUUGCUAGGGUGUUCUGGGUGGUUUGGUUUUAGUUGUGUUGCUAUGUGGUUGCUAGGGUGUUCUGGG